rnacentral:rRNA from 1 species
CCUACGGGGGGCAGCAGUAGGGAAUCUUCCACAAUGGACGAAAGUCUGAUGGAGCAACGCCGCGUGAGUGAAGAAGGGUUUCGGCUCGUAAAGCUCUGUUGGUAGGGAAGAAAGAUAGAGGUAGUAACUGGCCUUGAUUUGACGGUAUUCACUUAGAAAGUCACGGCUAACUACGUGCCAGCAGCCGCGGUAAUACGUAGGUGGCAAGCGUUGUCCGGAUUUAUUGGGCGUAAAGCGAGUGCAGGCGGAUGAAUAAGUCUGAUGUGAAAGCCUUCGGCGCAACCGGAGAAUUGCAUCAGAAACUGGUAGGCUUGAGUGCAGAAGAGGUGAGUGGAAGUCCAUGUGUAGCGGUGAAAUGCGUAGAUAUAUGGAAGAACACCAGUGGCGAAGGCGGCUCACUGGACUGCAACUGACGCUGAGGCUCGAAAGCGUGGGUAGCAAACAGGAUUAGAUACCCGAGUAGUC